rnacentral:rRNA from 1 species
UACGUAGGGGGCUAGCGUUGUCCGGAAUUACUGGGCGUAAAGGGCGCGUAGGCGGCCAGCACAAGUCAGUUGUGAAAUCUCCGAGCUUAACUCGGAAAGGUCAACUGAUACUGUGCGGCUAGAGUGCGGAAGGGGCAACUGGAAUUCUUGGUGUAGCGGUGAAAUGCGUAGAUAUCAAGAGGAACACCUGCGGCGAAGGCGGGUUGCUGGGCCGACACUGACGCUGAGGCGCGAAAGCCAGGGGAGCGAAACGGG